CCGGAAAGCUGCUCAAUAGUAAUGGAGAGACCUGAGCCGUGUCAGGAUCUUUAUCACUACAGCAUUGACUGUGGUGGCUCCCUGAGUGAGGAGGUGGCACAGCUGGUGCUGCUACAGCUGCUGCUGGCCCUGUGCCACGGUUAAGCUGAUAGACUUUGGAUGUGGGAGUUUUCGGAAAGACAGCCCCGAUCCAGAAUACUUGGUACUGCAUCAGCCCCUGCAGAGUUUUCUGCUGCAUAUGGAUGGC